GUUGUUUAUAUUUUGCAGUGUGACUUUAUUAUUAAUGUUUACCUUUUUUUUCCUUCCAGAGUAUCAGUAAUUCAUACUUAAGCCCCUGUCAUGUAAACCUCGGCGUCCAGGCCUCUAACUCUCCUCCAGAUUUCUCAGAGUUCACAGGCCCAUUUCAACUCAUCAUGUGGAAGAAGAUGAUGCACGUGUUACACACAAUGCCUCAGAAUCUGACUCUGGAUUUAGACACCGCUCACCCCUCAUUGGCCAUCAGCGACUUUGACACAAAGGUGGAGGAGGGCCGCGUACGCUCCCAGGAGCCCGACAUGCCACAGCGUUUCACCCGUUUCUUCGGGGUGCUCGCUACCG